rnacentral:lncRNA from 1 species
AGGAACUGGCUGGAAGAUGGGGUGUGUGUGCGUAUAUGGGAGCGAGGAAAGCGCUGUAGGAAGCAUGCAGGCCGCUUUAUUUUACAGCUGUGGGAGUGGUGGACAAGGGCGGCGGCUCUGCGAGAAGCACGUGGGCGCGGCGGGCCGCCUCAGGGAUGGAGUAGGCUGUGGUCUUGCCAACUCCCGUUAUCAAAGGCCCAAGGACGCCAUUCACUCAGCCCCGGGCGGGCGUGGGUCUGGGGGCCGGAAACCCGAAGUCCUGUGGGUGCCGUGGAAUGCACGAGCAGCCGGCGGAGCAAACCUGCCCCAUAGAUUUUUCUAAACCGUUCGCCACAGAAACGCUACUCUGUCUUCUCUGACCGACUCUGUGCACUGCAGCCUUGCACAAAGAAAACAGGAGGUACUCCAAGUCUGAGAUACUGUUCCGACUAGGAAAGGGGUAGCUUCUGGUACCUGCAGCUCUCUCGGGGCAGGGUCCCGCGGGUCGUACCCACCUCCCCGCUCGAGUGCGGUCAAAACCCGGAGACCGGAUUACAUCCCAAUCCAGAAGUCUCAGGGCGCCCGCAGUUAGUUCAGGGCAUGCUCAGUCGCAGAGCAGGUUUUUGGGCUUGGAAGUAGGAAGCUUUUGCACCACACACCCACACUCUAGCUCAAAUUACCUCUCCCAGACUCUGCACUCAUUGGUCUCGGGGCGCGAGUCUGACACCCCUAAGUGUUGUUCAUUGGCUGCCGCCAAGGCUUUAUCAGUUUGGGGCGCUUCAUUGGCUAAAAAGUAGCCUCCGCUCGCGAUUGGUUAUUUAUAGAGAUUGAGCGGAGAGGCGGAGGCACAGCUGUUCUUUCUCCGUUGCUCCCCCACCCUCUGCCUCCCACUUCCCCAACCCUGGCGUUUUGAAGUAAAAGUGAAAAAAUAAGAGGCAUUUAGGCUGAGAGCUCAGAACUAAAUAUAGUUCUUUGUUGGUGUUUUCGAGAGGGUCUGACUCCUCGGUUUCCAGUCACGACUGCCCCUUAAAGGGAGCACAAAGGGCUAAUUACAGGUUUUGGUCCGCAAGAAACCGCAGAGUUGCCAAGUUUUUUUGCAGGGAGUGGGAGGGGGCGAGGAGCCGAAAUGGGCCACUUGGAAUUCGUUUCACCCGGAGGGGUAGGGGAGUGUCCAAGCUUGCUUCAGAGGAAGCGUCUUCGCUGGCGGGCCGGGCAAUCGCUAGACUUGGCUGGGCUGGCGCUCCCGGGAGGUGCAAGGGAGAUGCCCCGACUUGUUCCGACUCCCUCGCUCCUCGCUGAGGAGGGAUGUCAAGACCUGUCUGCAGGCUGAGCUCGGCGGCGGCGGGUGCGGGAUGGGGAGGGAGGCGGUGGAGCUGCGUCAGCGCUGGCUCCCCGUCCUGAUGUCACUGCUCCCUGGUUUCACCGUCCGCAUCGGAGGGUAAACCUGGGCAUGGCUAACACGGUUUCAGUUCCUAGUGCCGCCGUGACUCACGCUGCGUUUGCUAGUUAACCUCCAAACCCCUGGCCAAAGCAGCUUCCGUGCACGUCUGCAGCGUGAAGUCCUUGGGCACAGAACCGGGCGGGACGUGGGCUGCCCCUGAUGCCUUGGGUGGGGUGGGUGGUGCCCACACCCGCGCCUCACCCCAAUUUAGUAGAGAGAGGAGACUUUCACCUUGACUGUCAGAGUGCUUGGAUGUUAUGAAGCUUAUAUAAUUCUCCAGAAAAACCUCUCAGAGGCAAACUCGCCUAAGCUGGAGAGAACCCUGUCAACAUCCACCCAAUGUGUAAUGUCCACCAAGCGUUUUACAUAUACUGCCACUCCUCAUAAUAAUGAUUAUUUACCCAUUUUAAAGAUGAGGAAACUGAGGCUGUGAGAUGAUCAAUAAUUUGCCUGCGAUGCCACAACUAGAAAGUGGCCAACCUAAGAUUCCAACCCAGGGAUUUGCCUGCAGAGCCUAGUCUCAUAACCACUGGACCAUACUUACCCGUCACAUGAAUGUUCCGGUAUGUUAUUCUUUCUUAGGGUGAUUUUAGAGGCUGUGUGAUCAGACUGGCUCUUAAACCCAAGAGGGACCUCCGCCCACAGCCACCCUCUGGCUCUCCUCUGGCAGUGCCCCUCUUCCGGUCAGGCUGAUGGCCCAGCUGGAGCCUGACCCUCUUCUAGACUACAUACGCUCCAUGUAGUCAGAACUCUGGACUGCUCUGCCCAAAUGGUGCCAAGUUCACUUUCAGGAUCUGGUCGGGACUCUGAACUCACUCCUGUGUCCAAGAAAUAGCUCUUCUUUGGGGUGUGGACAGUACCUGGACCUGUGGGCUAAGGUGUGCACUCCCAGGUGCUUUGGGCCCCUCGUAAUGCAGGAAGAGGGAUCAUUCGCGAUCAGCUUUAUCCUCCAUGACACCUUCCAGCCUGGCCCUUAGAGAAGUCCAGGAAUUCAUAGUUCACAACUGGCCAUCCAGCUCCGUGUAGGAGGUAUUUGUCAAGGUGGGAGGACAGAUCAUAUUUUGUUUAACAGUUUGUUAUCUUGAUUUAUGACUUAAAUACUUAGGUUAAUGCUAUGUGGGCCUCUAUUGGUACUCUUAACCACAAAUAUUAGGUGUGGUUCUGAGUGUGAUAUAGAAGCAGAUGCUUUGUCCUUCUGGGCCUGAAGUCUAAUCUCAAGUAUUGGAUAUCAGUUAUUAUCAGAGGCCUUAGGCGAGUCACUUAAGCUCUCCUAACCUUAGUUUCCCUUUCUAUAAAAUGGUGAUAAUAUAAUUUGCCCUACGCACCUACCUACACAAGGAAACUUGGAGAAAAUCCGGUCACCAAAUCAAUCAUUUUACAGCAGAGAGAGCUGAGCAGAAUUAGGACCCUGCUGUCUUAGCUGCCCUUACCAUGUGCCAGGCUGUCCAGAGGGAUAAUAAUUAACAGAUAAUAGACGGAAACAUGUUUCUAAAGCUGCAGCACCCCAUACGUGCAUCAAAUUACUGCUCAGACCCAGACAGCCUGACAGUCCCUUGAGAAAUGACCAUUCCUAAGACUCUAGGUAGCCAUGUGGAUGGGUAUUACUGAACCUUUAUGGCCUCCUCAGUACCAGAAAGAUGCCACAAUUUGAAUACUUUUUAUUAGGGAUUCUUCAAUAGCAAUUUUUAUUACAUUCAGAUGGUCUUCCACAGAAAGAUUUAUAUUGGACCUUUGGGAUUUCAAAUGAAGCAAUGAAAAAUGUACAAUUUUUUUUUUUUUUUGAGACAGUGUCUUGCUCUGUCGCCCAGGCUGGAGUGCAAUGGCACGAUCUCAGCUCACUGCAACCUCUGCCUCCCAGGUUCAAGUGAUUCUCCAGCCUCAGCCUCCUGAGUAACUGGGAUUACAGGGGCGUGCCACCACGCCUAACUAAUUUUUGUAUUUUUAGUAGAGACAGGGUUUCAUCAUGUUGGCCAGGCUGGUCUCGAACUCCUGAUCUCAGGUGAUCUGCCCACAUCAGCCUCCCAAAGUACUGGGAUUAGAGGCAUGAGCCACUGUGCCCGGCCCAGUGUACAAAUUUUUAGGGUUGAUCAUUUCUUCAUGUAAAAUUUGUUAGGAAUAUUUUUACCCCCACUCACAGCGUGAAACAUUAUCUAUCCUGUACUAUAAUUAUUACAUUUCCAUAACUAAGUCUGGUCACCUUAAGCACCAUGUGAAAUACUCAAGGGCAAGGUCCAUGUCUAGUUUAUCUUUAGAGCCACCUUUGUCCUUCACAGCACUUAGUACCGUAGAAAGCCCUCAAAUAUUUAUUAAUGAAUGUGUGAAUGGUAUUUUAUCCUUUUCCAAACUCUAUUUGUGUUAGAAGAUCAUAUCAAUCCUUGAUAAGACAUAACAUGUUUUCGAUCCACAGAAAAAUGUAUACUAAUGUGUCAGUCUGUCUCCCUGAGUCACAAAGAUGCUGGAGUGAUCAAAGUCUUCAUUUAUUGGGGUGAAAACACUAAAUCAGUGCUAUCUUGAGGAAAGAUACCAAAGCAUCCAAUGGAUAAAGCUUUUGUCUGAAGAAGACAUUUUCAGAUUAUGUGGAAAGGCAUUUUUGAAAAACAAUCUAACAUAAAAGCUAUCAGGAAGAGACAGCUUAACUUUGAUACUUUGCAUAAACAGGGGUCCCAUUCCUAACCUUUGCUCACAGAGUGACCUCCUUCCAAGAUACACAGGUUGGGUCUUGAAAGAAUUAGAUUUCUUAGAAUGUGACUGUUUUACGUCCUCAAGAAAAUAACUACCCGCUUGUUCUUUUCAUUUGUACUAGGUAAGUGGAGGUUUGUUUCAUAAUGUUCAUAGUUUUAGUUAGUGUCACCUAUAGGUAAACAAAAAAUUCUGAACAAAUUCUAAUUUUGAAAGCAUCAAAGGUAAGUUGAUAGUGACCAUAUAUCAUUAUUUGAAAGCUGAAGUAGGCCAGGCGCAAUGGCUCACACCUGUAAUCCCAGCACUUUGGGAGGCCGAGGCGGGCAGAUCACGAGGUCAGGAGUUUGAGUCCAGCCUGGCCAAAACGGCAAAACCCCAUCUCUACUAAAAAUACAAAAAUUGGCUGGGUGUGGUGGCACAUGCUUGUGGUCCCAGCUACUUGGGGGGGCUGAGGCAGGAGAAUCACUCGAACCUGGGAGGCAGAGGUUGCAGUGAGCAGAGAUUGUGCCACUGCACUCCAGCCUGGGUGACAGAGUGAGACUCCAUCUCAAAAAAAUAAAUAAAGUGGAGGUAUAAGUGUGAGAAUAACUGUGCCUUACUGUGUUCUCAAUAUGUGUUAAGUAACUGAAUAUAUUAUAACAUGACCACAUAUCCACUAGUAGGCUUAGGAUAUUUUACUUUAUCAAUGGUCCUUUUUUAAUAAUCUUCAGUAAUGUCUCUAAAAAUAUUUUGUACAUCAACCAAACCAUCAUUAUCAUUUCAUACUAUUCAUACUAUUCAGAUUACACUUUGGGUAGACAACAUAUUACACAUUAUUUCACACUACUAUAUACUAUUCAUAUUAUACUUUGGGAAGCCAUUUUGUAAGAACAAUUACUUGUAAUGAGAUUUUAUGUCUUUAUAUUUUAACAGUGUCCUAAAAUCCUAGCAUGAUAACUAGGAGAGACAAAGAUCUGCCUAGUUUUCUAAUUUCAGUGUCUGCCUAUAUAACUUGUACUCUGAUUCUUUUUUCCUAUUUUAAUUAUUCUUCAAAGGAAAGUGUGUAGAAGAGUCUUAAAUUUUAAAUUAAAUAACCUCUUAAAAUCAAGUUUUCUAUAAACUUUUUUACAGGCAAAAACAAAUAGGAGAAUCAAAAUAGCUAUGUCUCAAAGCUGUUGUUUAACAAUUUAAUAUUAAAUAAUGAUCUCAACAUAUAAAUUAAUAGUCUGUUUAAGAUUUGUCUCCUCACAACCUUCUGUUCCAGAAAACCAAAUACAGCAAGAAUGAGAGAAAUUGCACUGUUGCAUUAAAAAGAAUUUUCCUGCCGGGCGCAGUGACUCACGCCUGUAAUCUCAGCACUUGGGGAGGCCGAGGCGGGUGGAUCACGAGGUCAAGAGAUCAAGACCAUCCUCGCCAACAUGGUGAAACCCCGUCUCUACUAAAAAUACAAAAAAUUAGCCGGGUGUGGUGGCGGAUGCCUGUAGUCCCAGCUACUCAAGAAGCUGAGGCAGGAGAAUCACUUGGACCCUGGAGGCAGAGGUUGCAGUGAGCCGAGAUUUCGCCACUGCACUCCAGCCUGGCGACAUAAUGAGACUCUGUCUUAAAAAAAAAAAAAAAAGGAAUUUUCCUCUCACUUUCUUCUCACCACUACUAGAUUAAAGGAGCCCCCUUUUCUUCUGCAGGUGAGAGGUGACAGCGUGCUGGCAGUCCUCACAGCCCUCGCUCGCUCUCAGCGCCUCCUCUGCCUGGGCUCCCACUUCGGCGGCACUUUAGGAGCCCUUCAGCCCACCACUGCACUGUGGGAGCCCCUUUCUGGGCUGGCCAAGGCCGGGGCCGGCUCCCUCAGCUUGCAGGGAGGUGUGGAGAGAGAGGCGCGAGCGGGAACCGGGGCUGCGCGCGUGGCUUGAGGGCCAGCUGGAGUUCCGGGUGGGCGUGGGCUUGGCGGCCCAGCACUCGGAGCAGCCCCCUGCCGGUCCCGGGCAAUGAGGGGCUUAGCACCCAGGCCAGCGGCUGCGGAGGGUGUACUGGGUCCCCCAGCAGUGCCGGCCCACCGGUGCUGCACUCGAUUUCUCGCCGGGCAGGGCUCGGGACCUGCAGCCCACCAUGCCUGAGCCUCCCACCCCCUCCGUGGGCUCGUGUGCGGCCGGAGCCUCCCCUAGGAGCGCCGCCCCCUGCUCCAGGGCGCCCAGUCCCAUCGACCACCCAAGGGCUGAGGAGUGCCGGCGCACGGCGCGGGACUGGCAGGCAGCUCCACCUGCAGCCCCAUUGCGCGAUCCACUGGGUGAAGCCAGCUGGGCUUCUGAGUCUGGUGGGGAUGUGGAGAAGCUUUAUGUCUAGCUCAGGGAUUGUAAAUAUACCAAUCGGCACUCUGUAUCUAGCUCAAGGUUUGUAAACACACCAAUCAGCACCCCUGUCUAGCUCAGGGUUUGUGAAUGCAAUCGACACUCUGUAUCUAGCUACUCUGGUGGGGACUUGGAGAACCUUUGUGUGGACACUCUGUAUCUAGCUAAUCUGGUGGGGACGUGGAGAACCUUUAUAUCUAGCUCAGGGAUUGUAAACACACCAAUCAGCGCCCUGUCAAAACAGACCACUCAGCUCUACCAAUCAGCAGGAUGUGGGUGGGGCCAGAUAAGAGAAUAAAAGCAGGCUGCCCAUGCCAGGAGUGGCAACCUGCUCGGGUCCCAUUCCACACUAUGGGAGCUUUGUUCCUUCACUCUUUGCAAUAAAUCUUGCUGCUGCUCACUCUUUGGGUCCACACUGCCUUUAUGAGCUGUAACACUCACUGCGAAGGUCUGCAGCUUCACCACGAACCCACCGGGAGGAACGAACAACUCCAGAUGCGCCGCCUUAGGAGCUGUAACACUCGCCGCGAAGGUCCGUGGCUUCACUCCUGAGCCAGCGAGACCACGAAGCCCACCAGAAGGAAGAAAUUCCGAACACAUCCGAACAUCAGAAGGAACAAACUCUGGACACGCCACCUUUAGGAACUGUAACACUCACCGCGAGGAUCCGCGGCUUCAUUCUUGAAGUCAGUGAGACCAAGAACCCACUAAUUCCGGACACACAGGGACAGCAAUCCACUGCUUGCCUUGAUGUACGAUUGAAGCCUAUCACCCCUUCUGCAGCAGUGGCUCCAUUAAGUUUCACUCUAUCACCCAGACUGGAGUGCGGUGGCACAAUCUCCGCUCAUUGCAGCCUCUGCCUCCCGGAUUCAAGUGAUUCUCCUGCCUCAGCCUCCCCAGUAGCUGGGACUACAAGUAUGUGC